AGUGAACGCUGGCGGCGUGCCUAAUACAUGCAAGUCGAACGAUGAAGUCCUAGCUUGCUAGGAUGGAUUAGUGGCGCACGGGUGAGUAAUAUAUAGGUAAUCUGCCCUACACAGAGGAACAACAGUUGGAAACGACUGCUAAUACCUCAUACUCCUAUUUGACAUAAGUUAAAUAGGGAAAGUCUUUUCGGUGUAGGAUGAGACUAUAUCGUAUCAGCUAGUUGGUAAGGUAAUGGCUUACCAAGGCUAUGACGCGUAACUGGUCUGAGAGGAUGAUCAGGUACAUUGGAACUGAGACACGGUCCAAACUCCUGCGGGAGGCAGCAGUAAGGAAUAUUGCGCAAUGGGGGCAACCCUGACGCAGCCACGCCGCGUGGAGGAUGCCACUUUUCGGAGCGUAAACUCCUUUUAUCAGGAAAGAAUAAUGACGGUACCUGAUGAAUAAGCACCGGCUAACUCCGUG
rnacentral:rRNA from 1 species